rnacentral:misc_RNA from 1 species
CAAGUUUUCAAAUCUUUACUCUUUGCUGAUUUUGCAGUGAAAACAACUUCUAGCAAUUUCAGAGAAAGGCUUUUGAGUUCCACUUGACACACAUACACACACUCUCUCUCUCUACUGGUAAAGGAAGUGGCUUUGGGAUCCUAACCCACUCAUCUUAUCCAAUUUACGCUGCCCAUCUCUCGAAAUCCCCAGGUUUCUACCGUCUGCUAUUUUCUUCGACGCAAUCCCCUAAUUUCAAGGUCGUGGAAGCGGUGAGAUUUGAUGGCUUGAUAAUGGAUAGUGUGGAAUUAUUAUAGAGAGGGAGAAAGUUUAUGGUGUGCACUAUCCCUUAUCAGGAUUCUGAGGUAAAGCACAAUAAUUUAUUUUCAUUUAUAUAUCUGGGAAUUGGUGUUUCGUUGAAGAGGCUGCUGCAGACUUUCUGUUUUGAAGUCAAGAGAGAAGUUUCUCAUCUUUUUCCAAACAAUUUUUGUUUGUUUGCAUCUGAGUUCAUUCUGAGAAUCUUAGAACCAUAUAAUUUUGGAUUUCGACUGCAUAUGGGCUCUCCUUUGGAGCUUCAAAUGUUGUAAGCCAUGGGAGAGUGGAUCAUUGGAGGUUUCAUCAAUCUAUUUGACAACAUUGCCAUUAACUUUGGGACUAACCUUCUUCAAUUGGGUCACACUGAGACGUCAACUGCGAUACCUUCACAUCUUCACAUAAUGUAAUGAGCUUCAAUGAGUCUGGCUAAAUUAUAUUCACAGAGAGAGGCAUUCUACUCUAGACACUGAUGGAACUAGUGGGAAGAGUCAUUUGAAGCCU